rnacentral:rRNA from 1 species
GUGGGGAAUAUUGGACAAUGGGCGCAAGCCUGAUCCAGCCAUGCCGCGUGAGUGAUGAAGGCCUUAGGGUUGUAAAGCUCUUUUGUCCGGGAAGAUAAUGACUGUACCGGAAGAAUAAGCCCCGGCUAACUUCGUACCAGCAGCCGCGGUAAUACGAAGGGGGCUAGCGUUGUUCGGAAUCACUGGGCGUAAAGCGCACGUAGGCGGACCAUUAAGUCAGGGGUGAAAGCCUGGAGCUCAACUCCAGAACUGCCUUUGAUACUGAUGGUCUCGAGUAUGGAAGAGGUUGGUGGAACUGCGAGUGUAGAGGUGAAAUUCGUAGAUAUUCGCAAGAACACCGGUGGCGAAGGCGGCCAACUGGUCCAUUACUGACGCUGAGGUGCGAAAGCGUGGGGAGCAAACAGGAUUAGAUACCCCUGUAGUCC